UGGGGAAUCUUGGACAAUGGGCGCAAGCCUGAUCCAGCCAUGCCGCGUGGAUGAUGAAGGCCUUAGGGUUGUAAAAUCCUUUCGUUGGGGACGAUAAUGACGGUACCCAAAGAAGAAGCUCCGGCUAACUUCGUGCCAGCAGCCGCGGUAAUACGAAGGGGGCUAGCGUUGUUCGGAUUUACUGGGCGUAAAGCGCGUGUAGGCGGAUUUGUAAGUUGGGGGUGAAAUCCCGAGGCUCAACCUCGGAACUGCCUCCAAAACUACAAGUCUGGACCUAAGUAGAGGCAAGUGGAAUUGCGAGUGUAGAGGUGAAAUUCGUAGAUAUUGGGAAGAACACCAGUGGCGAAGGCGGCUAACUGGUCCGGUACUGACGCUGAGGUGCGAAAGCGUGGGGAGCAAACAGGAUUAGAUACCCUCGUAGUCCCUGAGCGGGCUGGCAAGGCGCAU
rnacentral:rRNA from 1 species